AAAACUGAAAUGGAACAGGGGCAGAAAAUAGCACACUUUUACUCUACGCAACUGUUGCUUUUUCAUGAUCUUCAGGAAUUUUACUGGGAUAAUUAUCCAAAUAAAUUGCAAGCAUUCUAUCCAAAUGGAGCUCUUUCUGAGAUGAAGAGAAUUCUCAAUGUCAAGAUUUGAACAAGAAGAGAAUGGAAUACACAAUAUGGACAUCCAUAAAAAUUCAUCAGAGAGCAUUUUACUACUGAGCUGCAAAGGGAAAAACUUAAAAUGGAUAUGAAAAGUGAAGAAAGUGAUCAUAGGAGAAAACCAUUUCAGAUGACAAGAGCACCUCAAAGGCAGCAGCCUCAAGGAGCAGCCAUGGCCCCAGACUUGUCGCACGGAUGCAGAAAACUUAAUGGAGGAGGCUGAGGAACUCUUCCAGACUCUGGGAAAUAUGUCUCCAAGAAAGCAGACAAUACCCCUGCCCUCUGUGGAAGACUGACAAAUAUACAAGUGCAUAUGUAUAUAUAGACUGUCAGAUGAUGUAAGUAUGAUGAAGAAAAUGAAAGCCAUGUAAUGGGUGAUGGAGCGGGGCAUAGAAAGGUGCCAUUUGCUAUUUUAUAGAAGUAGAUCAGGGAAGACCAUGUCAUGGUAGAUAUCUGAGCAGAGACCAUUCCAGGUGUGGGAGCAUGUCAGAGAGGUAUCCAGGGGCAACAGUUCCAGGCAGAGAAAGCAUGAAGAGCAAGGUGCCCAAGGCCAGAGCAUGUGUGCUUGGCAUUUUCCAGGAGCAGCAAGGAAUUUAGUGUGGCUGAAGGAGAAUGAGCAAGGGAGAAAGCAGCAGGAGAGUGCACAUGAAGCCCUGUGUGCCAUUACGAAGACUCUGCUUUUUUUUUUUUUUUGAGUCGGAGUCUUGCUCUUCCGCCCAGGCCGGAGUGCAGUGGCGCGAUCUCGG
rnacentral:lncRNA from 1 species